rnacentral:rRNA from 1 species
UACGUAGGGGGCAAGCGUUGUCCGGAUUUAUUGGGCGUAAAGAGCGUGUAGGCGGCCAUGCAGGUCCGUUGUGAAAACUCGAGGCUCAACCUCGAGACGCCGAUGGAAACCGCAUGGCUAGAGUCCGGAAGAGGAGAGUGGAAUUCCGUGGUGUAGCGGUGAAAUGCGCAGAUAUCAGGAGGAACACCGGUGGUGUAGACGGCUUUCUGGACCGUAACUGACGCUGAGACACGAAAGCGUGGGUAGCAAACAGG